rnacentral:rRNA from 1 species
AGUGAACGCUGGCGGUAGGCCUAACACAUGCAAGUCGAACGGCAGCACAGUAAGAGCUUGCUCUUACGGGUGGCGAGUGGCGGACGGGUGAGGAAUACAUCCGAAUCUACUUUUUCGUGGGGGAUAACGUAGGGAAACUUACGCUAAUACCGCAUACGACCUACGGGUGAAAGCAGGGGAUCUUCGGACCUUGCGCGAUUGAAUGAGCCGAUGUCGGAUUAGCUAGUUGGCGGGGUAAAGGCCCACCAAGGCGACGAUCCGUAGCUGGUCUGAGAGGAUGAUCAGCCACACUGGAACUGAGACACGGUCCAGACUCCUACGGGAGGCAGCAGUGGGGAAUAUUGGACAAUGGGCGCAAGCCUGAUCCGGCCAUACCGCGUGGGUGAAGAAGGCCUUCGGGUUGUAAAGCCCUUUUGUUGGGAAAGAAAAGCAGCAGGUUAAUACCCCGCUGUGCUGACGGUACCCAAAGAAUAAGCACCGGCUAACUUCGUG